UGGGACUACUGGGGUAUCUAAUCCUGUUUGCUCCCCACGCUUUCGCGCCUCAGCGUCAGUUCCGUUCCAGCGAGCUGCCUUCGCCAUUGGUGUUCCUCCUGAUAUCUGCGCAUUUCACCGCUACACCAGGAAUUCCACUCGCCCCUCCCGGACUCUAGCCAGACAGUUUCCAGCGGCAUUCACAGGUUGAGCCUGUGACUUUCACACCGGACUUAUCUGGCCGCCUACGCGCUCUUUACGCCCAAUGAUUCCGGACAACGCUAGCCCCCUACGUAUUACCGCGGCGGCUGGCACGC
rnacentral:misc_RNA from 1 species